rnacentral:rRNA from 1 species
AUUGAACGCUGGCGGCAUGCCUUACACAUGCAAGUCGAACGGCAGCACGGGAGCAAUCCUGGUGGCGAGUGGCGAACGGGUGAGUAAUAUAUCGGAACGUGCCCAGUCGUGGGGAUAACGUAGCGAAAGCUACGCUAAUACCGCAUACGAUCUAUGGAUGAAAGCGGGGGAUCGCAAGACCUCGCGCGAUUGGAGCGGCCGAUAUCAGAUUAGGUAGUUGGUGAGGUAAAGGCUCACCAAGCCGACGAUCUGUAGCUGGUCUGAGAGGACGACCAGCCACACUGGGACUGAGACACGGCCCAGACUCCUACGGGAGGCAGCAGUGGGGAAUUUUGGACAAUGGGCGCAAGCCUGAUCCAGCAAUGCCGCGUGCAGGAUGAAGGCCCUU